rnacentral:rRNA from 1 species
GACACAGGGAGGUAGUGACAAGAAAUAACAAUACGGGGCUUAAUGCCUUGUAAUUGGAAUGAUGGGAAUUUAAACCUCUUCCAGAGUAUCAAUUGGAGGGCAAGUCUGGUGCCAGCAGCCGCGGUAAUUCCAGCUCCAAUAGCGUAUAUUAAAAUUGUUGCAGUUAAAAAGCUCGUAGUUGAAUUUCUGCUGCAUUGCAUCUUCUUUUUGAUGAGUUGGUGUAUUGUGGCUUAUUUCGGAUGAUACUUGUAUUAUCCGGAUGAUUACUUUGAGAAAAUUAGAGUGCUCAAAGCAGGCUUUUGCCUUGAAUAGUUUAGCAUGGAAUAAUAAAGUAGGACUUUGGUUCUAUUUUGUUGGUUUUAGGUACCAAAGUAAUGGUUAAUAGGAACAGUUGGGGGCAUUCGUAUUUAACUGUCAGAGGUGAAAUUCUUAGAUUUGUUAAAGACGAACUACUGCGAAAGCAUUUGCCAAGGAUGUUUUCAUUAAUCAAGAACGAAAGUUAGGGGAUCGAAGA